rnacentral:tRNA from 1 species
GGGCAUAUGGUGUAGGGGUUAUCACGUUCGCUUUGCAUUUAGAGAUGCGAAAGAUCUGCGAAAGGUCUCCGGUUCAAAUCCGGAUUUGUCCA